GAUGAACGCUGGCGGCGUGCUAACACAUGCAAGUCGAACGGUAAGGCCCUUCGGGGUACACGAGUGGCGAACGGGUGAGUAACACGUGGGUGAUCUGCCCUGCACUUCGGGAUAAGCCUGGGAAACUGGGUCUAAUACCGGAUAGGACCACUGCCUGCAUGGGUGGUGGUGGAAAGCUUUUGCGGUGUGGGAUGGGCCCGCAGCCUAUCAGCUUGUUGGUGGGGUGAUGGCCUACCAAGGCGACGACGGGUAGCCGGCCUGAGAGGGUGACCGGCCACACUGGGACUGAGAUACGGCCCAGACUCCUACGGGAGGCAGCAGUGGGGAAUAUUGCACAAUGGGCGCAAGCCUGAUGCAGCGACGCCGCGUGAGGGAUGACGGCCUUCGGGUUGUAAACCUCUUUCAGCACCGACGAAGCGCAAGUGACGGUAGGUGCAGAAGAAGGACCGGCCAACUACGUGCCAGCCGCCGCAGUAA
rnacentral:rRNA from 1 species